AAUAGAUACCCUGGUAGUCCACGCCGUAAACGAUGAGUGCUAAGUGUUAGAGGGGUUUCCGCCCUUUAGUGCUGAAGUUAACGCAUUAAGCACUCCGCCUGGGGAGUACGGCCGCAAGGCUGAAACUCAAAGGAAUUGACGGGGGCCCGCACAAGCGGUGGAGCAUGUGGUUUAAUUCGAAGCAACGCGAAGAACCUUACCAGGUCUUGACAUCCUCUGACAACCCUAGAGAUAGGGCUUCUCCUUCGGGAGCAGAGUGACAGGUGGUGCAUGGUUGUCGUCAGCUCGUGUCGUGAGAUGUUGGGUUAAGUCCCGCAACGAGCGCAACCCUUGAUCUUAGUUGCCAUCAUUCAGUUGGGCACUCUAAGGUGACUGCCGGUGACAAACCGGNGGAAGGUGGGGAUGACGUCAAAUCAUCAUGCCCCUUAUGACCUGGGCUACACACGUGCUACAAUGGACGGUACAAAGAGCUGCAAGACCGCGAGGUGGAGCUAAUCUCAAUAAACCGUUCUCAGUUCGA
rnacentral:rRNA from 1 species